rnacentral:rRNA from 1 species
UACGUAGGGCGCAAGCGUUAUCCGGAAUUAUUGGGCGUAAAGAGCUCGUAGGCGGUCUGUCACGUCGGCUGUGAAAUCCCGAGGCUCAACCUCGGGUCUGCAGUCGAUACGGGCAAACUAGAGUAUUGCAGGGGAGACUGGAAUUCCUGGUGUAGCGGUGAAAUGCGCAGAUAUCAGGAGGAACACCGGUGGCGAAGGCGGGUCUCUGGGCAAUAACUGACGCUGAGGAGCGAAAGCGUGGGGAGCGAAACAGG